rnacentral:rRNA from 1 species
GUGGGGAAUCUUGUGCAAUGGGCGAAAGCCUGACGCAGCCAUGCCGCGUGAAUGAUGAAGGUCUUAGGAUUGUAAAAUUCUUUCACCGGGGACGAUAAUGACGGUACCCGGAGAAGAAGCCCCGGCUAACUUCGUGCCAGCAGCCGCGGUAAUACGAAGGGGGCUAGCGUUGCUCGGAAUUACUGGGCGUAAAGGGCGCGUAGGCGGACAGUUUAGUCAGAGGUGAAAGCCCAGGGCUCAACCUUGGAAUUGCCUUUGAUACUGGCUGUCUUGAGUACGGGAGAGGUGAGUGGAACUCCGAGUGUAGAGGUGAAAUUCGUAGAUAUUCGGAAGAACACCAGUGGCGAAGGCGACUCACUGGCCCGUUACUGACGCUGAGGCGCGAAAGCGUGGGGAGCAAACAGGAUUAGAAACCCGAGUAGUCC